AUGCCGAUGCCGACGCGGACGUCCAUGGAUGCCGCCAGGACGGUCGUCGUGACCGCCUACCAGGAGCUGCCGCGCCGCCGUUCCGGCAGCCACGGCUCGUCGUCGUCCAGGACGCGCUCGGUCGCGGGAGGCUACAACCGCCGGGCGAUGCUGCUCGCGUACGCGCAGCACCUGCGGCGGCGCGGCGGGCAGAGGUCGUCGUCGUCGUCGUCGUCCUUGGGACCGCCGCGCGCGCUGGAGUGGGGCGAAUGGAAGCGGGCGGACGAUCCCGGCGCCGGCAACGACGACAAGGUACGGAUCGGCACAACAUUUCUUAUUUCGUGGUGGCGGGGCGGAGGAGGGGCUGCUGCUCCAGGCUCCGGCUGUGGGCGCGGCUCUGGAUCAGGACGUUUUUCCGUCGCGUCAGGAGGAUCAGGGAGAACGCGUCGUGCAGGAAAGCAGAUUGAACGGGUUGGUCAUGCACGACAGUUCGACGAUACGAGGAAGAAUCAGUUGGUCAUCGGCGAAUCAGGCCUGCAUCUGCAUGUGUUCCGGAAUUUUUCUGUGUGUGUGCUGAACUCGUGCGUGCAUCUCCACAUGUACGACAUGUACCAUAACAAAAAUGCAGAUGGGUUGGAGCCGUACGACGGGAUCUGGAAGACUCUUGAGUCAAAACCUUCCGAAUUAAGAAGGUUAGAGACGCCUCAUCUCCGGUGCUUUGCCGGCAAGGCCAGUGGAUCUCCAUUGUCUCCGCAACGGCCGUGGGCAAUAGGCUCUGAUGCUAGCCAUUGGAUCCACGACCCAACGACCCAGAAUCCCCCGUACCAUGGCGUCAUGGGAGGUGUGGGAGCACAUGCUAUUACCCCUUGGUUGAUGAUACUCCAUUUCAACUUGAUAUUUUCACACCAAAUUAAGUUGAAGCUUGAUAAUUCCAAUGAUAACAACCCCCUAAGGGCAUCUCUAGCCCUUCCCUUCAAAUUUAACCCCCUCCCCCAAGCCCCUUCGACCCUUAACUCCUUAAAUUUGAGAAGUUAA
rnacentral:rRNA from 1 species